rnacentral:rRNA from 1 species
GACGUAGGGCGCGAGCGUUGUCCGGAUUUAUUGGGCGUAAAGAGCUCGUAGGCGGUGUGUCGCGUCGGCCGUGAAAACCUGGGGCUCAACUCUGGGCGUGCGGUCGAUACGGGCAUCACUGGAGUUCGGCAGGGGAGACUGGAAUUCCUGGUGUAGCGGUGAAAUGCGCAGAUAUCAGGAGGAACACCGGUGGCGAAGGCGGGUCUCUGGGCCGAUACUGACGCUGAGGAGCGAAAGCAUGGGUAGCGAACAGG